AAUUUCAGCUAAAAAAAUCGUAAACAUAAAAGUUGUAGAACUCAUCAAGAUAUACAAUUUUUAUUUUAGUCAUUUAUUCAUCCGACAAAGUGAUAGUAAAAUUGUACACAAAAUUUACAUAUCUCUCUUAUAGUUUAUGAAACCCUAUUAGAGAUAUGUCAAAUUCCUGAACAAUAUUACUAUCACUUUGUCGGAUAAAAAAAUAACCAAAAUAAAAGUUAUAGAUCUUGAUGGGUUAUACAAUUUUAUUGUUGAUGACUUUUUCAGUUGAAAUC
rnacentral:pre_miRNA from 1 species